rnacentral:rRNA from 1 species
UACGAAGGGUGCAAGCGUUUAAUCGGAAUUACUGGGCGUAAAGCGUGCGUAGGUGGUCUUUUAAGUCCGUUGUGAAAGCCCUGGGCUCAACCUGGGAAUGGCAGUGGAUACUGGAAGGCUGGAGUACGGUAGAGGAGGGUGGAAUUCCUGGUGUAGCGGUGAAAUGCGCAGAUAUCAGGAAGAACACCCGUGGCGAAGGCGGCUCUCUGGGACGGUACUGACGCUGAGACGCGAAAGCGUGGGGAGCGAACAGG